UGAUUAGUAAUGGCUAUAAAAGCCAAGCAAGUUGUCAAUUGCCAUUUCCAUUUUUCCUGCAUAAAAGAAAAGAGAGAAAGUUAGGCAAACAGGAUAGUAAAUCAGUGAGCUAAUUUGGAACGGAGAAGUUUUGGACGUUUUAGAGCACUAUAAUAAAAGAAUUUAAUAUUGGAAAGGCGGAGCUGAUUUAUAAGUAUUAAAUUGAGGAAAUAUUUCAAGCUAAGGACCCGAGUAAAGAGUGAGUAUGGCGCAACUCAAGAGAACCGCCCGAAAACGGGUUUUGGCAAGGAAAAGGAAAAGACACAUCACAUGAGCUGAAGCUGCUAGGCAACGCUGUUUGGUGAUGCCAACUACAAUUAUUAUAAUAGUCUGUAAUCAGACUUACUAUUAUGUAAUAAAGUUAGACUUGGUAGUAGUGUUGUGGACGAUCGACCCUGGACUUGUGGGGCGAGAAUUGUACUUGUAUAAUAUUAAUAUAAUGCUAGUGUUGUUUUGA